AGAUAAUAGAGUUAGCACUCUGAUUAUGUAAAGUCUCUUUGAAAUGAAUCUAGAAGGUGAUGUAAAAACCGGGAAAUCUGGAGACUACCACACUUUCACUUUCAAGACUGAAAGGAUGUCUGUGAAAAAACUUAGAGAGGAUGUGUGGUGUGAAAACAAGCUGCGCUGCCAACAUCCUUUGACUACAAUAGAAAACCAAAAAACGGAGUGGACUCAUUUAAUUCCUGACCACCUUUGGACAACGUUUUUUGUUAUUUGUUGUACAAAGAAAUAACUGGGAAUAAUGUUUUUCCAUUUCAUUCUUCUGGUUGUUUCUUUGAUGGGUUCCCUGCGCAGCUUCCAUGUGUCCGGCUGUAAUGAAAACUGUGCAGAUAAACCUGCGUUCACUCCAACCAGACUGGUAGUGAAGCAUGGUGACCCAACCUCUGCCAUCUGCUCUGUAUGUCAGCAUGCUUGCCUCGUUAACGGCACCACAACUGAUCUGGAGAAAGCUGUUGGAGACACAUUAAGAAACGGAACCACAAUUUUAUGGACGGUUGACAGACUGACUGAAUGGCACACAUCUCCCAUUUGCUAUUAUAGCAAUGCUGCUUACCAGUGUUGUAGCUCCCUGAAUGUAACUGUGUACCAGCCUCCAGACAGUGUGUCCUUCAGCUUUGUUAAUCACACUGGGCCGAUGUUGGAGGGGCAUCAGUACACUCUGCAGUGUACAGUACAGGACGUUGCUCCUGUUGAAAACCUUGUUGUGACAUUCUACAGAGGACAGACAGCGCUGGGUCAACUGCAGUCCAACAACACAGAGAAGAAACCAGCGACUGAGAUCUUCUCUUUAAACAUCACACCCAGUAAAGAAGAUGAUGGAGGCCGGUUCUGGUGUGAAGCAAAGCUAGAACUGGGACCUGAUGGACCACAGCGCCCUCCAGUGGUGACGUCAGAAAACAUCACUGCCACUGUGCACUAUAAGCCUCAACUAAAGUCAUCAUCUUCAGAUCUAAUCACCGUCGCAGAAGGAAACUCUCUACAACUGAACUGCUCGGCUGUGGGAAACCCCAGCCCCUCGUACACGUGGACAUCACCUAUCCGUUCCUACUCCAAUGUCAGCGUUCUCACUAUCGACUCUAUAACGUCUGCGGAUAAAGGGCAGUACACCUGUUCUGUCAGCAACCAUGUGGGGACUGCCACUGUGACGUUUAAUGUGGAUGUUGAAGAUUUGAAGUCAACCUCAACCAGACUGCCGCCAACAACUACCACUUUAACCACAACAACCACACAGAAAACAACCACACAGAAAACAACCGUACCGAACUGCAGCUCCAGUAGCAUACUGCUUCACAGGUCCAUGUGUUUUGUGCUUUUAUUCUCUGCUCUGGUUUGAGUUCAUUCCUAGAGAACAUAAGCGGUUUGUUUCUAGAGCAAUAGCAGGUCAUAUCGUUGCCACUGAACAAUAUAAUAGCACAAUAAAAGGUAUUUUAUCCAUGUCCUACAUAGCGCACAUUUGAUGCCAAUAUCAGUUCUCUAAAUACAUUGAGAAGGCAGCCUGUUGUGUGAGAACGCUUACAAUGUACCGUAAUACUCAUUGUUAACCAGAGUGCAUUAGCUUGUAAAUGAUCAUUGUUUGCCUGUCUGCAAAUGCACACACGGAACAUACUGUUAAAAUUGAUGUUAGAGUGGAUAUAUUGAAUUGACAAUGAAAAAAACAAAGCAGUAAGUAAGUCUACAGCCAUGUUAGCAGCACUGUGAGGCCAUACUUGCUAAUGUACUUGUAAAUGCUAACAUCAUAAGCUAACAUGCUCACAAUGACAAUGCUAAGUAGUACAUGUUUAGUAGUAGCUAUGUUUAUCAUGUUUACUAUCUUAGUUUGGGAUAACAUUUGCUAAUUUGCAAUAAACACAAAGUGCAGCUGAGCUGGUAUGUCAUUAGUUUGAGGGGGACUUUAAUGUCGGUACCAUUUUUUUUGCCAAUUUAUCAGUUGAUAUUAAGAUAAUUUACUCGCCUUUAGAAAAGUCAGAGAAUCACCAAAGUUGUUUAGGAUUCAUCUUCUGGGGAUUGUGAAUGUCUGUACCAAAUUCCAUGGCAAUCUAUCUAAUAGUUGUUGAGAUGUUCAGUCUGGACCAAAGUGGUGACCAACCAACCGACAUUCCUUGAGUAACGCAGCUAGCAUGGCUAAAAAACACUGAUUCAAAAAGUACCAAUACAUGUUAUGUUGUUGCUGUAAUUGUGUGUAUGGUAUGUUGCGACAUUCAGUUGAUAUAUUAGCGUUUUCAGUCCCCAGAACCGUUUUGUCAAAAAACAACAGUAGGAGGAAUGUCGGCAUUUCCCAGUGGUUUCAUUGAAAUAAAUAAACUCAAACAGUUCUGACCAAAAGGGCAAAUAUUAAUGUGCUGAUGGCAGCACAAGUUUUCCAUUUAGUUGUAGAAAACCCACAACUUGUUUUUCUUAGAAUUCUACCGCCAACGUUUAGUUUCCAGAGCAACCCCUACUGGCACAGUUCCAUUGAAAUAAAAAAAGACAGUCCAAGUGAAAAUGUAUCGAUGUGUUAUCGAUCUUUUCAUCUUACUCUCUGCAAGAAAGCAGUUACCCGUAUCAUUCAACAUGAAUGUCUAGGGUGAGUUCAUAGUUAUAGCAUACCUGGCCCCCAGGGUUAUGAUCAUUUAGUGAAUCACUGAAAAGAAACUAUACUGUUCUCAAAAUUACUUUCUUGCUGCUUUAUAAUUCCUAUACUAUAAUGUUCCCUCUUUUUUUCUUAUUGUUUUGAUAUUUUAAAAUGUGACAAAUUGACAUCAGUUUUCAAAAUAGACUGUAAGAAGGCAGCCUGUUGUGAUGCAAAGCACUUUUCACAAUGUAAUACUGUUAUUUUACCACUAGAUGAUGUUAGGCUAUAAUCUGCAAAGUAAGCAAUUUAAAAAAUGAUCAUUUCUGCCCUUCUAUCUCUGUCAAAUCCGAACCAAGGCUGUAACUUCCGCCUAGGACACUAAGGUCAUGUCCUUUAUAUAUUUCCCUGGGAAUUUAAGGUUUUUAGCAACCUCUUUAUAUUGUUUAAAGACUCAAACAUAGUGAGUAGUUUACAGGCUGAUACUAACUAGUAGUAGUUGUGUUUACUUUACUUUAAUUGGACUUAUUUUUUUUUUUUACUUUGGGGUAUAUGAACAUGUUUUGAACCUUUUCUCACACUGCUAAAUGUGUUAAAUGAAUAACUUUUGCUUGAAUAAAUACAGUUUAAACUUA